AGUAAUUUACCCAAGAGAAUAUGCUUCCUCUCAAUGGGAUAAACAAGGCAACUCUGUUGACAAGUUGCAGUACUGCUUCAAUAUCUAAGUCCAACCACAAUAUAAAUAAAUCAUUCAGUAGAAGAAAUUGAAGAGCUUAAAAGCUUACUUGUUACAAACAUCUGUUAUUUAUUCCCUCAUCUGCUUUCCUUACAUCAAUCAUUGCCAUCUUUAUUCCCUUCACAAUAAUCUCUAGGUAAAAGGGCACAUCUAUAAAUGUGGA
rnacentral:lncRNA from 1 species